rfam:Myotis davidii contig150621, whole genome shotgun sequence.
GGCCAGGUAGCUCAGUUGGUUAAGAGCAUUGUCCUAAUAUGCCAACGUUGCAAGAUCAAUCCCUGGUCA